CUGCUUCAGCAGCACAUGUACUAACAUUGGGACAAUACAGAGAAGAGUAGCAGGGCCCCUGUGCAAGGAUGACGUGCAAAUCUGUGAAGCAUUCCAUAUUUGU
rnacentral:snRNA from 1 species